rnacentral:rRNA from 1 species
CAUGCCGUAAACGUUGGGAACUAGAUGUAGGGACCAUUCCACGGUUUCUGUGUCGCAGCUAACGCAUUAAGUUCCCCGCCUGGGGAGUACGGCCGCAAGGCUAAAACUCAAAGGAAUUGACGGGGGCCCGCACAAGCGGCGGAGCAUGCGGAUUAAUUCGAUGCAACGCGAAGAACCUUACCAAGGCUUGACAUAUACCGGAAAAGUUCAGAAAUGUUCUCCCCGCAAGGUCGGUAUACAGGUGG